rnacentral:tRNA from 1 species
GUCGGGAUAGCUCANCUGGUAGAGCAGAGGACUGAAAAUCCUCGUGUC